rnacentral:rRNA from 1 species
ACAUAACUGAUGCCUCCGCGUAUCGACUUUGUGCGCAUUUUAGCUAUUAUGUGUUCUUUUAAUUAAAAUGAUUCUUUUUAAGAUUCAUCUAUUAAAAAUUUGCUUCGGCAUAAUUUUUUUUAAUGAUCUUGUUACUUUGAGUAAAUUAGAGUGUUCAAAGCAAACAGAUAUAGCAUUUGUGCGUUUGAAUACUACAGCAUGGAAUAACAAAAUUGAACAAGUCAGAAUUUUUUUGUUCUUUUUUCUUAUUUUGGCUUAGUUACGAUUAAUAGGAGUAGCUUGGGGGCAUUUGUAUUCAGAUGUCAGAGGUGAAAUUCUUAGAUUUUCUGGAGACAAACAACUGCGAAAGCAUUUGCCUAAAAUACUUCCAUUAAUCAAGAACGAAAGUUAAGGGAGUGAAGACGAUCAGAUACCGUCGUAAUCUUAACCAUAAACUAUGCCGACUAGGCUUUGGAUGAAAGAUUUUAAAAUAAGAGUUUUUCUUCUCUCUCCGGAGAUUAGAACUCUUAGAUUGCUUCCUUCAGUGCCUUAUGAGAAAUCAAAGUCUUUGGGUUCUGGGGCGAGUAUUCGCGCAAGCGAGAAAGUUAAAAGAAUUGACGGAAGGGCACCACCAGGCGUGGAGCUUGCGGCUUAAUUUGACUCAACACGGGAAAACUCACUAGUUUAAGACAAGAGUAGGAUUGACAGAUUAAUAGCUCUUUCUUGAUUUCUUGGAUGGUGAUGCAUGGCCGUUUUUAGUUCGUGAAUAUGAUUUGUCUGGUUAAUUCCGAUAACGAACGAGAUCUUAACCUGCUAAUUAGCGGCAAAUACGAUAUAUUCUUAUGUAGAAUUGAAUAUAGUGGAUUUGUUGGAUUUUGAAGAAAAUAUUGGAAUUACGUUAAAUGUGAUUCCUUUCCCUUUUCUACUUAAUUUACAUUUCCAUCUAUUUCUUUUUUGCGUAUGAAUGUAUUUGCUUGAUUGUAAAGCUUCUUAGAGGAACGAUGUGUG